UAAUACGUAGGGUGCGAGCGUUGUCCGGAAUUAUUGGGCGUAAAGAGCUUGUAGGCGGUUUGUCGCGUCUGCUGUGAAAAUCCGGGGCUCAACCCCGGACUUGCAGUGGGGUACGGGCAGACUAGAGUGUGGUAGGGGAGACUGGAAUUCCUGGUGUAGCGGUGAAAUGCGCAGAUAUCAGGAGGAACACCGAUGGCGAAGGCAGGUCUCUGGGCCACUACUGACGCUGAGAAGCGAGAGCAUGGGAGCGAACAGGAUUAGAUACCCUGGUAGUCCAUGCCGUAAACGUUGGGAACUAGGUGUGGGUCUCAUUCCACGAGAUCCGUGCCGCAGCUAACGCAUUAAGUUCCCCGCCUGGGGAGUACGGCCGCAAGGCUAAAACUCAAAGGAAUUGACGGGGGCCCGCACAAGCGGCGGAGCAUGUGGCUUAAUUCGACGCAACGCGAAGAGCCUUACCAAGGCUUGACAUAUAGCGAAAAGUGGCAGAGAUGUCAU
rnacentral:rRNA from 1 species